ensembl:lncRNA
AAACUACGGAGCCCGAGCGGCGGCACGGCGGUCAUCGAGCGUCCGGCGGCGCGGUAAAACAGCAGGAAACCGAGCGGAGCGACGCGGCGACGCCGAGCAAGCGGCUGAUAACGGCCGGACGUUACCUGCGGGUGGUCCGCUUCAUGGCCGGCUGGCUGUCCACCUUGGUUCGGCUCCGCUGCCCGUCACUCGUAGCUCACUCCGCCGGACCCGCCACGUCCACCUCGGCAGAACACCCGCCGCCUCGCCUCCUCUCCUCCCCUCUAUCACUGACUAAUUCCGCUCCCUCCCUCCUUCUUACCUUCCUUUCCUCCCUCCUUCCUCUCUCGCUUCUCCCCCCCUUUCCUUCCUUCCCUCCCUCCCUUCUCGCUCGUGCACAUACCCGUUCAGUCGGGUAUGUAGGUAACUAUGACAACGGUAGUAGCCACCGUAGCCUUCAUCAUCAUCAUCAUCAUGGCAGACCGUUGUAAGUUGGUGUUUAAUGACAUUCAGCCCAUGCAGCACUGAUAAAACCAGGCACAAAGUAAACAACCAACACAUCAGAGUCUGAUAACUCACUCAGAACUGACACUGGUCACACAAGGUCAAAGGUCACAUCAAGUCUGACCUUUAAAAAAACAAAAAUAAAUCCUGAAGCAUUCAAUCUACCAUUUGGCUGAUGUCCAUUAAAAAAAAAACCAAUAAAAUAAAAAAAACAGGGAACAUUUUAUAAAAAGUAUUGCAUCACAUCCAAAAAAUGAGAUGAACUGUUCUUUGACAUACAGCGUUCAUCAAGGUUAAACAGGAAGUAGAAAUCCAUAUUUAAAGUUUAAAACAAACCCACCCCCGAAUGAAGUUCCCCCAUGUCUUCACAAAGAGCCUGACUUACAGGAAAACCUCCAACUGGAAAUAUUAACAUGAAAAAAACAAAAGAAAACAAACCCGUUCGCCCCUCAUUCACACGUCUGUUCCCUGAGGAACUCCUCGCCAACUUUUAAGGAUCUUUAUUAGUUUUUUGCUCACACCCAAAGUUUUAACUACAAAGGACUGAAGUACGAGUACCACACAACCACUUUUCACUGCUAACAAAAAAGAAAAGAAAAAAAAAAGAGCUCUGCAAUGAGAUUGCAUGAAUGUUUCAGUACUAGAAAUGAUACGACGAUGCGUUACAGCCACGGACCUCUUCUGGAAGAGAAAUGCAUCUGGUCAGCUGCAAACAUAACAAAUGAAUAAAGACCACCAGCAGGGAAAUGUUACUCAUUAAUUAUAACUUAAGAGAUCAGGGUUUCACUCAAUUUUCACCAUCUGGAAAGAGUUUGCAUUUUGCGUUGAGAUUAGAUCAGAUUUAAUGGAGCUCCAACAUGGGCCUCAAACAGCACAUAAACAAAUGAUGACAGUAUUAUCACGCAUUUAUGUUGAUAUCCAGGUUUUUAAACACAAAGUGUUACGCCACUCCUCUUCAAAGUUAUUUCUAAUAUCAUGUUUGUUUCUAGGCAGAUGCAUUCCUCUGUGUAAACAAGGACAGGAGGAGUUGUCAUUGGUUAAACAGGUCACAUGAUAUCUCCAACGAUCAGUGGUCCGACUCUUCAGGGCAGCAUUAAGGUCAAACAGACGAAGCUUGCUCCUACACACUGUACAUAAAAGAUGGACAUAAGGCUGUUCUCUAGUGUCCAGCAGGAGGCGGCUCCUCUGGUCCGAAUGGGAAAAUGAGCAUCCUGCUCAGCUGAUCUGAGCUCAGCAAACCCUGUUCUGAUGUGUUUAUGGUUCAGGUCUGACUGAAGAAAACAGGAAGUUUAUUUUGGAGAUUUUGGUCCCAUCAGUCACGGAGGGACAGGAAGUACGGAAGUCGGUGCAGAAAUCCAUCGUCUUGCAUCACGUCUGCUUUCUGAAAGCUGAGACGGUCAUCUCCUCUGGCACCUCCGCCCAGUUUUCCCAGAGUUCUGUCCCAUUAUGCCGAGUGAAGCUGCUUCAGGCUUCAACUCUCAGGAAGUAAAAUCUGACGAAUGGAGCGAUCCGGCCCGACCGAUGGGAAGAAUACAGUCUGGACUUUAGGUUCUGGGUUCGGUUAAUUCUGUCAGCACAAGCAGCCACACGAGGUUUUCAAAAGUCCAACAAGUUCUCAGUUUUUACUGAAAUGUAGAAAUUUGAACAAAGCAGUUUUGUAGCUUUGUUCAUAUAUGCACAGUUUAGAGGUCCAGAACCCUAAAAUCAUAUUAAAUAAAAUAAUAACAGUGCAAAUUUAGCGCUUCACACAUCUGAAGUAAAAGGAGAGCUCUGGGCUUCUGUCAGGAAGGCCACGGAGACCCGAGGAUUCACGGAGCAGCUGAAAAAAGCUUUUACGUCCUGAUUUAUCCGCCGCCCGGUGUUUGGCAUUCCUCAUCUGUCUACAGCUUUAACCACCCCUGAUACAUGAAAACUAAAGUAGAGACCAAAGAAACGCCGCACAGCCACGUCAGGAGUGCCAGUGUUGGAGUCUGUCCACCAGAGGGCGCUCUGCCACGUUCCUAUUGGCCAACACAGUUGAUGGAAAGGCUGCUGCAGAGAAGGAUGCUGGGAUAGGGCAAACUGGUUAAUCCGUCAGCUGAAGAACAGGAGAGAGCGAGGGACGGCUGCAGGAGGCGCACAAGGAGGAAGCCUUAAAGAGAGAUCGGCCAAAUUGAGCUCAGGAUUAGGAUUUUCUGAACUUUAACGGAACGUCCGAUCCUUCUGCCGCCGGUGCGUAAAAACCACAAAAGCGAGCUUUUCUUUUCACCUGAUUUUGUACACACGGAGCAGCCACAGUCCUGACAGAAAAUUAAACUUCUGUUUGACAAUAAAAAGAAUUUCAUUUUUACUGUGUUUACAUACACGUUUAAAUUCUUCACUAAUGUAAACAGUUAUUUACUCAACUUGAUAUCAAAAAACCAAAAAAACCAAACAUUUUUUGUCAGAUUUUGGAUUCCGUAUGAAUCAAACCUUCAAAGAAUAAAGUCCUAAAAAACAAAGAAACAUCUCAUGUCGAGUGGUUUUUAUGUCAGACCAGGCCUGGGGAAAAAACUAAAAUCUGCUCGUUGAUCAGGUGAGAUUUCGCCGCUGCGCUUCAGCUGAGGUAAUGAGGUCUCAUGGAAACAGGAAGUCAAAGAAACACUUGAAAAAUGAGGUACGAAAACGAGACGAAGCGGUCGGUGAAGCAGAGACAGGACAGUAAAAAAAAAAAAAAAAAAAAAAGUCUGAUUUUCGCCUGAGGUGACCAGAGUUCUGGAUCCUCCAACGGUCAGACGGCCCCGGCUCGCAGACGGUUUCAUUUUGUGCAUUUCUGGUCUUUGUUCAAAUUGAACCACGGAGCUCUGCAGAGCUCGCCGUCGUAUUGCUUCAGAGUUGAAAAAAAGGUUCACACAUUUACACAGCGUGAAACAACGGAUUCUGUGAUUGUUCGUGCUGACGUUUCUCAGAGAUAAAAACUAACUCUCAGGAUGAAUA